rnacentral:sRNA from 1 species
CUUUAACAAUCCGGAACAAGCUGAAAAUUUGAAACGACGCAUUGUCGUGUUCCUCCGUAAUAAGGAACACAGCACAACGCGUUCGAGUCUCUCAAAAGCUCACGACACGCAGCGUAAAACGCCUGUGG